UUUUAUGGAGAGUUUGAUCCUGGCUCAGGAUGAACGCUGGCGGCGUGCCUAAUACAUGCAAGUCGAGCGAACGGAUGAGAAGCUUGCUUCUCUGAUGUUAGCGGCGGACGGGUGAGUAACACGUGGAUAACCUACCUAUAAGACUGGGAUAACUUCGGGAAACCGGAGCUAAUACCGGAUAAUAUUUUGAACCGCAUGGUUCAAAAGUGAAAGACGGUCUUGCUGUCACUUAUAGAUGGAUCCGCGCUGCAUUAGCUAGUUGGUAAGGUAACGGCUUACCAAGGCAACGAUGCAUAGCCGA
rnacentral:rRNA from 1 species